rnacentral:rRNA from 1 species
UACGAAGGGUGCAAGCGUUACUCGGAAUUACUGGGCGUAAAGUGUGCGUAGGUGGUGAGUUAAGUCUGUCGUGAAAGCCCCGGGCUCAACCUGGGAAUGGCGAUGGAUACUGGCUCGCUAGAGUGCGGUAGAGGAGAGUGGAAUUCCCGGUGUAGCAGUGAAAUGCGUAGAGAUCGGGAGGAACAUCAGUUGCGAAGGCGGCUCUCUGGACCAGCACUGACACUGAGGCACGAAAGCGUGGGGAGCAAACAGG